UUUUCAAUAACAAAAUUUUUUAUUUUUUAACCAAACAGGAAGAACAAACCAUCAACGCACACAUUGGCAUUGGUCAACAACCAAAAAGACUAUGUUAAAUAAAUAAAAAUAAAAACUCCUCUUCACGCCAUAAAUAAGACUAUACGUCAAUACCCAAUAAUCCUGUGCAUCGACUAACUCUACAUCGCCAAAACGGCAGCGAAGAAGCCAGCAGCCACAGUUCCAGAACAAGCAAAUCUGUUUGAAACGGCGCCGUUUUUAGGUGAAGGACCUUCAGAUGGCGGGUCGGAGUUUGCGGAUGGAGGAGGAGGACUAGUUGCUGGAGGAGGAGAAGACUCUGGAGAGGGUGCUGGCGACGGAUUACUCUCUUUAGGUGCAGAAGGAGAGACAGUUGGUCCAGAUUGAGGAGCGGCGGCUGGUUCCGGAGUUGGAGUCGGUGACGACGGUGGAGAUUUCAUGGGAGAAGGUGCUGGUGAGGACAAAGGAGAUUGAGCUAAAGCGGAGGUCAAGAACAGUGCCAUUAGCAUCAAAACGACAACGCUUGAGCGAGCCAUUAUGAAGGAGGUGAAGACGCGCAAAAGUUGCAGAGACUAGAACUUGUACGCUAAAACAGAGAGAGUCAGC
rnacentral:misc_RNA from 1 species